rnacentral:rRNA from 1 species
UUGAUGCGCUGCUAUACAUGCAGUCGAGCGGACAGAUGGGAGCUUGCUCCCUGAUGUUAGCGGCGGACGGGUGAGUAACACGUGGGUAACCUGCCUGUAAGACUGGGAUAACUCCGGGAAACCGGGGCUAAUACCGGAUGGUUGUUUGAACCGCAUGGUUCAAACAUAAAAGGUGGCUUCGGCUACCACUUACAGAUGGACCCGCGGCGCAUUAGCUAGUUGGUGAGGUAACGGCUCACCAAGGCAACGAUGCGUAGCCGACCUGAGAGGGGAUCGGCCACACUGGGACUGAGACACGGCCCAGACUCCUACGGGAGGCAGCAGUAGGGAAUCUUCCGCAAUGGACGAAAGUCUGACGGAGCAACGCCGCGUGAGUGAUGAAGGUUUUCGGAUCGUAAAGCUCUGUUGUUAGGGAAGAACAAGUACCGUUCGAAUAGGGCGGUACCUUGACGGUACCUAACCAGAAAGCCACGGCUAACUACGUGCCAGCAGCCGCGGUAAUACGUAGGUGGCAAGCGUUGUCCGGAAUUAUUGGGCGUAAAGGGCUCGCAGGCGGUUUCUUAAGUCUGAUGUGAAAGCCCCCGGCUCAACCGGGGAGGGUCAUUGGAAACUGGGGAACUUGAGUGCAGAAGAGGAGAGUGGAAUUCCACGUGUAGCGGUGAAAUGCGUAGAGAUGUGGAGGAACACCAGUGGCGAAGGCGACUCUCUGGUCUGUAACUGACGCUGAGGAGCGAAAGCGUGGGGAGCGAACAGGAUUAGAUACCCUGGUAGUCCACGCCGUAAACGAUGAGUGCUAAGUG